UGAGUACGAGCUGCUACGGCAGCGAAGUGGGUGAUGUCAAGCUUCCAAGAAAAGCCCUAUACCCGUUAAGGCAUGAUGGCCUGUACCCGAAACCGACACAGGUGGGGUGGUAGAGAAUACCGAGGGGCGCGAGAUAACUCUCUCUAAGGAACUCGGCAAAAUGGCCCCGUAACUUCGGGAGAAGGGGUGCCACCGCAAGGUGGUCGCAGUGAAGAGGCCCAGGCGACUAUUUACCAAAAACACAGGUCUCCGCUAAGUCGCAAGACGAUGUAUGGGGGCUGACGCCUGCCCAGUGCCGGAAGGUUAAGGAAGCUGGUCAGCGUAAGCGAAGCUGGCGACUGAAGCCCCGGUGAACGGCGGCCGUAACUAUAACGGUCCUAAGGUAGCGAAAUUCCUUGUCGGGUAAGUUCCGACCCGCACGAAAGGCGUUACGAUCUGGGCGCUGUCUCGGAGAGAGGCUCGGCGAAAUAGAAUUGUCUGUGAAGAUGCGGACUACGUGCACCCGGACAGAAAGACCCUAUGAAGCUUUACUGUAGCUUGGUAUUGUGCCCGGGCUCUGAAUGCGCAGGAUAGGUGGGAGGCUUUGAUCCAUUGCUUGUGGGUGAUGGUGAGCCAACGGUGAGAUACCACUCUUUCAGAGCUAGGGUUCUAACGGUCACCCGUCAUCCGGGGACCGGACAGUAUCAGGUGGGCAGUUUGACUGGGGCAGUCGCCUCCUAAAAGGUAACGGAGGCGCGCAAAGGUUCCCUCAGGCUGGUUGGAAAUCAGCCGACGAGUGUAAAGGCAGAAGGGAGCUUGACUGUGAGACCUACAAGUCGAACAGGGACGAAAGUCGGCCUUAGUGAUCCGACGGUUCUGAGUGGAAGGGCCGUCGCUCAACGGAUAAAAGUUACUCUAGGAUAACAGGCUGAUCUCCCCCAAGAGUUCACAUCGACGGGGAGGUUUGGCACCUCGAUGUCGGCUCAUCGCAACCUGGGGCUGAAGUCGGUCCCAAGGGUUGGGCUGUUCGCCCAUUAAAGCGGUACGCGAGCUGGGUUCAGAACGUCGUGAGACAGUUCGGUCCAUAUCCGGUGCAUGCGCAGGAAUAUUGAGAGGAUUUCUCCCUAGUACGAGAGGACCGGGAGGAACGCACCUCUGGUGUGCCAGUUAUCGUGCCAACGGUAAACGCUGGGUAGCCAUGUGCGGAGAGGAUAACCGCUGAAAGCAUCUAAGUGGGAAGCCCACCUCAAGAUGAGUAUUCCCAUGGCGUUAGCCAGUAAGGUCACGGGAAGAACACCCGUUGAUAGGCUCUACGUGGAAGCCGGGUAACCGGUGAAGCGGAGGAGUACUAAUAGACCGAGGGCUUGACC
rnacentral:rRNA from 1 species